rnacentral:rRNA from 1 species
GACGAACGCUGGCGGCGUGCUUAACACAUGCAAGUCGAACGAUGAAGAAGAGAAACGCGAACUUCGGUUCAAAUUUCACUUCGGAUUAGUGGCAGACGGGUGAGUAACGCGUGAGCAACCUACCUCUUACAAAGGGAUAGCCUCGGGAAACCGUGAUUAAUACCAUGUGACACAUUCAUAAGGCAUCUUAAGAAUGUUAAAGCUACGGCGGUAAGAGAUGGGCUCGCGUCCCAUUAGCUAGUUGGUGAGGUGACGGCCCACCAAGGCGACGAUGGGUAACCGGCCUGAGAGGGUGAACGGUCACAUUGGAACUGAGACACGGUCCAAACUCCUACGGGAGGCAGCAGUGGGGAAUAUUGCACAAUGGAGGGAACUCUGAUGCAGCGACGCCGCGUGAGCGAUGAAGGAAUUCGUUUCGUAAAGCUCUGUUCUAUGGGAAGAAAAGGACUGUACCAUAGGAGAAAGCCCCGGCUAAAUACGUG